UACGGGGGGGGCAAGCGUUGUUCGGAAUUACUGGGCGUAAAGGGCUUGGAGGUGGCCAACUAAGUCAGACGUGAAAUCCCUCGGCUUAACCGGGGAACUGCGUCUGAUACUGGAUGGCUGGAGUGUGGGAGAGGGAUGCGGAAUUCCAGGUGUAGCGGUGAAAUGCUUAGAUAUGACACAGAACACCAAUAGCGAAGGCAGCUCGCUAAACUGACAUUGACGCUGAGGCACGAAAGCGUGGGGAGCAAACAGG
rnacentral:rRNA from 1 species